rnacentral:lncRNA from 1 species
AUGCAGGUCCUCUGGCUUGAAAUCUACCAGCCCGUUUCUUCUCCCCUCAGUCCGGCCCUCCCUGAGUCCACUGGGCUGGCCUGGUUUUCCUGGUCCCACACAUGCAUGCAAACCCUAGAUAAGAAUUUCCAGAGAACCCAACCAGCAAGAGCGAACAGACUGCUCACUCGGCUGACUCAUGCCACGUGGGAGAAGAAAGAAGAAGUGACACGUUGGCUGUUAUCUCAGAAACUACGGCGGAGACUCCCCCGUGGGAAGGCACAUGCGUCAUCGCCAAGAGCCUGUUUGAGCACCAGAGAAAGUUGGCCUAAUUCUGGUUAGCUCGGUGACAUCAAGACCUGCAUGUUCCCUAGGAAGCACGACGGGAGAAAGUAAAAGAAAGGAACUUCUUACAGAAUGGCCUUCCUCUCUGUAAAGAGGACUCAUUCUUCCACUCGAUACUCUGGGGGCGAAGAUUCCUGUGAUUAAAAACUCUGAGGUCAGAGCCACAGAAGCCAGGACACCCGGCUUGUGUGGCUCUGCUUCCCUGCCUUCCUCAGGAGCCCACUGAUGCACAGGGUGCCUGGCUGCCGCUCGGUCCUGGGCCACCGUCCUUGGAGGGCACAGAACAGUGGGGUGAAGGGGAACCUCUCUGUCAAAGCCCUGGGCAACUGCCAGGCUGAAGGAAGGGCAGCGGCUGGCCCGUCCCUGUCCCCAGGGUCACAGUGUCGUGACGCUCUCCUUCACAGCUGUCCUCCUCCUCCACCAUCCCUGGGGGCAGAAGGAAGCCCUGGAUGCCAUGGAGCAGAAGGGGAGGUGGCACAGCAGGGCCAGUCUCAGGAAGGGGAAGGGUGGCUCUUGGACGACAAGUCUGGAGACCAGAGCAGGACGCCCCCAGGACAGAAAGGACGGGCACACUGCCUGGAUCCCUGCCCCCUAGGAGAGUGGACACAAACCCGAGUGUGGGCACCUAGAGUGACUGCCCUAAAUAAGGAAUUGCUGUGACCCUCCCAUAUUUUACCUUAAAAAGCCAGCGCCCAGCACGAGACAGAUGCUCCGUACAUGUUUACUGAAGUCAUCCGAAUUCUGCAUGCGACUUGCAUCUUUUGUACAAUCCCCCAUUUGGGAGCCAAACUUCUGCUCUCCGGCGAUCCAGGACCUCUGGCAGCCCUGCUCUCAGCUCGUGCCUGGGCAGGAACUCGGCCCGGCUGAAAGCCUCUGGGCAAACUAUCAGUGUAAGCUAUCGCCUUGGCUUGUUGACCAGGUUCCAAAGGGCCUGCAGCAAGUCCCUUCUCCGUCCCUGGCUUCAGUUCCCAGUUCCCUGUGUGAGACGGUGCAGAGGUGGGGGGUGGGGGACGUGAGGUCCCAGCCAGCUCUGGGAGCUCAGCUGCCUGACUCAAUUAUACCUGGUGCGCCUGGAGGGACGUGGUGAAGUGAGCCCUGGGGAAAUGCUUGGGGAACAUGCAAAGCUCAUUAGGGGCAGAGCUCCGUGUGCCAAAGGAGCAGGAAUGAAAGAAGGUUCAGUACUUUGGGCCACUUCUGACCAUCUUUGGGUGUCUGGCUAUGACCAGAGGCUUGGAAAAUGGGAUCUUUGCAUUGCAAUUCACGUGUUAUCUGUAUUUUAUAAAACGAAAGCCAAAGUCGGCAUCGUGCUAUUUGGAGGCAUCCUUUCAUUUGUUUGCUCCUUCGUUAGAAAAACACUCAUGGAGAACUGACUACAGUGGCCAGGUCGGGGAGCUGAUCAGGAGACAGUGAAGGAAGCGGGAAAUUAUUACAAAUGAAAGGGGCGCAAUGACGGCAUGAGGAAAGGGUCUGGCCAGUUGCCACGGGACGCACUACCUGUCCCUCUGAUACACACGCUGUCAUAAGCGCGUCACCACCUCUCCCUGGAGACUGUGCAGGACUGCACAGGAGGAUACAGGCUCAGCCAGGGGAAGUGACCUGCGCAAGAUCACGCAACCCCUAUCUUCUGACCCCAAAUGCAGGACUGCCUCCGUUACCCCACAGCCAUAGAUAGAACAUCAUGAGUCAAAGCCAUAUAGGCUUCCUUCAAUGAAUCACUUUUGCUUUGCUAAGCCGCUUGUGUUCCCACUUAAAAUAAUAAUCAUAAAACCCUGGCUUGCCUACUUUUGGUAUAAAGCUGAGUGGUCUAAGGGGCUUUAAAAAAUGAAAAUGUUUAUGGAUAAACUGCAAGGUCCUACCGUAUAAUAUUGUAUUCUUGCAAUAGCUGAUAAUGGAAACGAACCUGAAAAAGAACAGAUCUAUGUCUGCAGAACUGAAUCAUUUUGCUGUAUACCUGAAACACUGUAAAUAAACUGCAUGUCAAUAGAACAUUUUUAAAAAA